UUGGUUUUUCCAGGAGUCAUGUAUGGAUGUGAGAGUUGGACCAUAAAGAAGGCUGAGCGUCAAAGAAUUGAUACUCUUGAACUGUGGUGCUGGAGAAGACUCUGUAGAGUCCCUUGGAUUACAAGAAGACCAGACCAUUCAAUCCUAAAGGAAAUCAACCCUGAAUAUUCAUCAGAAGGACUGAUGCUGAAGCUGAAGGACCAAUACUUUGGCCACCUGAUGCAAAGAGUCAACUCAUUGGAAAAGACCCUGAUGCUGGGAAAGAUUGAGAGCAGGAGGACAAGGGAAUGGCAGAGGAUGAGAUGGUUAGAUAGCAUCACUGACUCAAUGGACAUCAAUUUGAGCAAAUUUCAGGAGAGAGUGAAGAACAGAGAAGCCUGGUGUGCUGCAAUCCAUAUCCUCCAACAAAAAAGAGAAGAAGAAAUAAAUACCAAAUGUGAAAAAAAAAAUCGGACACAAUCGAACAACAGCAAACAUUUGCCAGAGAGCCAUGGAAGGAGAGGUUCUUUCUGUUUGAAUCUGCUUAAUCCGCUGACAGAUGGCUUUGUUGACAAUGACACUAUUUGUCUCUGACACUGUUUCCACACAUUCUAACCAUGCAGACACAGUGUUUGCUAUGUUGUCAAAAUGAAAGAGUCUCUGGUCCAUCCCUUCUGUGGCGAUAACAAUCCUUCAUCAUAGGCAAUAAAGAGGGCAGAGUGCCAAAGAAUUGAUCUUCCAAACUGUGGUGCUGCAGAAGACUCUUUAGAGUCCCUUGGACAGCAAGGAGAUCAAACCAGUCAAUCCUAAAGGAAAUCAGUACUGAAUACUCAUUGGAAGGACUGAUGCUGAAGCUGAAGCUCCAGUACUUUGGUUACCUAAUUCAAAGAGCCAGCUCAUUGAAAAAGACCCUGAUGCUGGGAAAGAUUGAAGGCAGAAGAAGAGGGUAACAGAGGAGGAGAUGGCUGCACGGCAUCAUCGAUGACAAUGGACACGAACUUGGGCAAACUCCAAGAGAUGGUGAGGGACAGGGAAGGCUGGCAUGCCACAGUCUAUGGGGUCACAAAGAGUAAGACACGGCUGGGUGACUGAGCAACAGCAAUCAUAGGCAAUCAUAGAC
rnacentral:lncRNA from 1 species